GACGAACGCUGGCGGCGUGCUUAACACAUGCAAGUCGAACGAGAAUCUAUGGAUCGAGGAUUCGUCCAAGUGAAGUAGAGGACAGUGGCGGACGGGUGAGUAACGCGUGAGGAACCUGCCUUUCAGAGGGGGACAACAGUUGGAAACGACUGCUAAUACCGCAUGACACAUAGAGAUCGCAUGGUUUUUAUGUCAAAGAUUUAUCGCUGAAAGAUGGCCUCGCGUCUGAUUAGCUAGUUGGUGAGGUAACGGCCCACCAAGGCGACGAUCAGUAGCCGGACUGAGAGGUUGACCGGCCACAUUGGGACUGAGAUACGGCCCAGACUCCUACGGGAGGCAGCAGUGGGGAAUAUUGGGCAAUGGGCGCAAGCCUGACCCAGCAACGCCGCGUGAAGG
rnacentral:rRNA from 1 species